rnacentral:rRNA from 1 species
GACGAACGCUGGCGGCGUGCCUAAUACAUGCAAGUCGAACGCAGUGGGGACGGGUGAGUAACACGUGGGUAACCUCCCAUCAGAGGGGAUAACACUGGGAAACAGGUGCUAAACCGAUACUGAUGGAUGGACCCUCGGUGCAUUAGCUAGUUGGUGAGGUAACGGCCCACCAAGGCCACGAUGCAUAGCUGACCUGAGAGGGUGAUCGGCAAAACUGGAACUGAGACACGGCCCAGACUCCUACGGGAGGCAGCAGUAGGGAAUCUUCGGCAAUGGACGAAAGUCUGAGCGAGCAAAGCCGCGUGAGUGAAGAAGGUUUUCGGAUCGUAAAACUCUGUUGUUAGAGAAGCGGUAUCUACCCAGGAAGCCACGGCUAACUACGUGCCAGCAGCCGCGGUAAUUC